CCUCAUCAUUAGGGGUGCCUUGUUUUUUUAACACGAAUUAAGGCUGAGAAUAUACCCAGUUUCACAACAACGUGAGACGCACCUGAUCCAGAUAAUGCUGGCGUAGGGAAGGUUAGUUAAAUCACAA
rnacentral:ncRNA from 1 species